UUAAUGAAUUAUAAAUAAAGAGCUUUGAAUAACAAGUAGAAGCAACAAACUAUUACGUAUACCUCCGCGCAAUCGCUUCAACAGGGUUACUUUUCGAAAUUAUUUGGUGAAAAUUAAAUUCCAGCCAAGCAUUUCAUGCGCAGUUGCUCAGCCGGUUGUACCCACAGACAUGCUGUUCUGCAAGAAGGACAGGGAGGAGGCGUUACUCAUUGAUUAGUAUACUGCGCAUGCUUGAAAGGUCAUCCUGUUUCCUCAGGAUUCACAGACAUCCUAUUGCUAUACACUACCUUUUGUUCAACUUGUCAUUUGGCGUGUUUUUUUUGGUUCUGAAGUUCGACAUUCGCAAUCAUCCCUAAUGAUCCAAAAAAUCAUCCCUAAUGAAAAGUUAUUGAAUCCUCUGCUAAGUCUUGAUGGAACUGAUUUUAAAGAACAUACAAGGCGAGCACUUCGUCGCAUCAUGAUGUUGCUGAACUCUAUAGCUGGGUGGGCAAUAAUGAAAAAAAAGAUUUUUGGGUUACGGAGUGUCAGACCCAAAUAUUGGGGCUGUUUGCAGUGUUUUCACAAACACGAAAGUAAAUGAAGUUGAAAGCAUUAUUUAAGGCUGGUUGCGCCAUGCCAAAGAAAGAAGAGUUUAUUCUGAAAAAAAAUUAAAGAAAUAAUUGUGUAAAUAAAAGUUUUACUUAUGCUACUCUAA